AGUCGAGCGGACAGAUGGGAGCUUGCUCCCUGAUGUUAGCGGCGGACGGGUGAGUAACACGUGGGUAACCUGCCUGUAAGACUGGGAUAACUCCGGGAAACCGGGGCUAAUACCGGAUGCUUGUUUGAACCGCAUGGUUCAAACAUAAAAGGUGGCUUCGGCUACCACUUACAGAUGGACCCGCGGCGCAUUAGCUAGUUGGUGAGGUAACGGCUCACCAAGGCAACGAUGCGUAGCCGACCUGAGAGGGUGAUCGGCCACACUGGGACUGAGACACGGCCCAGACUCCUACGGGAGGCAGCAGUAGGGAAUCUUCCGCAAUGGACGAAAGUCUGACGGAGCAACGCCGCGUGAGUGAUGAAGGUUUUCGGAUCGUAAAGCUCUGUUGUUAGGGAAGAACAAGUACCGUUCAAAUAGGGCGGUACCUUGACGGUACCUAACCAGAAAGCCACGGCUAACUACGUGCCAGCAGCCGCGGUAAUACGUAGGUGGCAAGCGUUGUCCGGAAUUAUUGGGCGUAAAGGGCUCGCAGGCGGUUCCUUAAGUCUGAUGUGAAAGCCCCCGGCUCAACCGGGGAGGGUCAUUGGAAACUGGGGAACUUGAGUGCAGAAGAGGAGAGUGGAAUUCCACGUGUAGCGGUGAAAUGCGUAGAGAUGUGGAGGAACACCAGUGGCGAAGGCGACUCUCUGGUCUGUAACUGACGCUGAGGAGCGAAAGCGU
rnacentral:rRNA from 1 species